rnacentral:rRNA from 1 species
UACGGGGGGGGGCAAGCGUUGUUCGGAAUUACUGGGCGUAAAGGGCUCGUAGGUGGCCAACUAAGUCAUACGUGAAAUCCCUCGGCUUAACCGGGGGAACUGCGUCUGAUACUGGAUGGCUUGAGAUUGGGAGAGGGAUGCGGAAUUCCAGGUGUAGCGGUGAAAUGCGUAGAUAUCUGGAGGAACACCGGUGGCGAAGGCGGCAUCCUGGACCAACACUGACACUGAGGAGCGAAAGCCAGGGGAGCAAACGGGG